rnacentral:lncRNA from 1 species
GAUCUAGGUUCAUAUCUAAAAUAGAACUCUUUUUUCUUUUUCUUUCUUUUUUUCUUUUUCUGUUCGAAAAACUAAAACAAAACUCAUCUUAUCACUACAUCCAUGCACGCCUUAUAUUCAUGAACUAUAUUUUUGUUGAUCUAUAUGUCACAUAUUACUAAAGAUGGUGAAAAUGUAGGUUCUUCUGCAACAUAGAUAAUGCAUAUAACAUACGAUCUCCAUGGUUAUAAUACUAUAGUUACCAAACCUACAGCCU